rnacentral:rRNA from 1 species
GAUGAACGCUGGCGGCGUGCCUAAUACAUGCAAGUAGAACGCUGAAGGAAGGAGCUUGCUCUUUCCGGAUGAGUUGCGAACGGGUGAGUAACGCGUAGGUAACCUGCCUGGUAGCGGGGGAUAACUAUUGGAAACGAUAGCUAAUACCGCAUAACAGUAGAUGUUGCAUGAUAUCUACUUAAAAGGUGCAAUUGCACCACUACCAGAUGGACCUGCGUUGUAUUAGCUAGUUGGUGAGGUAACGGCUCACCAAGGCGACGAUACAUAGCCGACCUGAGAGGGUGAUCGGCCACACUGGGACGGAGACACGGCCCAGACGCCUACGGGAGGCAGCAGUAGGGAAUCUUCGGCAAUGGACGGAAGUCUGACCGAGCAACGCCGCGUGAGUGAAGAAGGUUGUCGGAUCGUAAAGCUCGGUUGUAAGAGAAGAACGAGUGUGAGAGUGGAAAGUUCACACUGUGACGGUAUCUUAACAGAAAGGGACGGCUAACUACGUG